UUUAACAUCAACAUUUUCAUCAUUCACACAAUUCAAUCAAAUUUCAUAGGUUUAACAACAACGUUUCCAUCAUUCACACAAUUCAAUCCAAUUUCAUAGGUAUAACAACAACAUUUUCAUCAUUCACACAAUUCAAUAAAAUAUCAUGUGUUUAAUAACAACAUUUUCAUUAUUCCCACAAUUCAAUAAAAUUCCACGGGUUUAACAACAACAUUUUCAUCAUUCCCACAAUUCAAUCAAAUUUCAUGGGUCUAACAUCAAAAUGUCAUCAUUUCGAUAAUUCAACCAAAUUUCAUGGGUUUAACAACAACAUUUUAUUCAUUCCCACAUUUCAAUAAAAUUUCAUGGGUUUAACAUCAACAUUUUCAUCAUUCCCACAAUUCAAUCAAAAUUCAUGUGUUUAAUAACAACAUUUUAUUCAUACACACAAUUCAAUCCAAUUUCAUGGAUUUAACAACAACAUUUCAUCAUUUUCACAAUUCAAUCAAAUUUCAUAGGUUUAACAACAACACUUUCAUCAUUCACAUAAUUCAAUCAAAUUUCAUAGGUUUAACAACAACAUUUUUAUCAUUCCCAUAAUUCAAUCAAAUAUCAUGGAUUUAACACAACAUUUUCAUCAUUCCCAUAAUUCAAUCAAAUUUUAUCGGUUUAACAUCAACAUUUUCAUCAUUCACACAAUUCAAUCAAAUUCCAUAGGUUUAACAACAACGUUUCCAUCAUUCACACAAUUCAAUCAAAUUUCAUAGGUUUAACAACAACGUUUCCAUCAUUCACACAAUUCAAUCUAAUUUCAUAGGUAUAACAACAACAUUUUCAUCAUUCACACAAUUCAAUAAAAUAUCAUGUGUUUAAUAACAACAUUUUCAUUAUUCCCACAAUUCAAUAAAAUUUCACGGGUUUAACAACAACAUUUUCAUCAUUCCCACAAUUCAAUCAAAUUUCAUGGGUCUAACAUCAAAAUGUCAUCAUUUCGAUAAUUCAACCAAAUUUCAUGGGUUUAAC
rnacentral:lncRNA from 1 species